AUGACACCGUGCUCUAACCCCGGCGCCGGCACCCCGACGCCGAGGCCUCCCGCUGCAACUCCACGCGUGCAGGGGGCCGGCGUGCCGCGGCCGGUGAUGAGCACCUAUGUUAACCUCGGCACUGCCGUGAGAGCAGCCCCGACACCGCAGAUGAAAAUGCAGGCCGCGGCGGCGGCAGGAGCGCUCGGCAUUCAGGCGCGCCCUCGUGCUGUCGGUGCCGCCGUCCCGACCGCGGGGUCUCCCAUGCCACUGCCACACACGCAGGGAGCGCCGGGCGCUGCCGUGCUGCCACGUCCGAUGAGCCGCGGUAACCUCGGCGGUGUCCCCAUGCCAGCAGCCCCCUCACCGAUGCCACGUAUGCAGGCAGCCAGACCGGGCGUUCCGGCGAACACUCGUCCAGUCGGCACUGCCGUCCCAUCGGCGAAGUCUCGAAUGCCAGUGCCAAUGUCAAUGCCGCCCACGCAGCCAGCGCUGGCGGUGGCGAACCCCGCCGCGCCUUCCCCACGCAAACGACCACCAACGACGACGGGGACGGCCAUUCCGCCAGCCAAGCGUCACGCUCCGACGAAGGGAGCGCCUAGCGGUGGCACGCCACUGCCAACGAACCCCGCAGCUCUCGCGGUCGCCGCCCCUGCUCCCACGCCGCCCCGGCACGCGCAGGGCGCGCCCGGGAACGCCACGCCGCAACCGGCACCGGCAGCGGCACCGAGGUUUAGGUACUUCGGGGUGCGCCACGACCCAGCCAAGGGGUGGAUGGCACGCGUCAUGGACCCGAAGCGAGGCGGCCGCGACAUCGGCCCCUUCGACGAGGAUCACCAGGCCGCGCUCGCGCACGACCGCGUGGCCAUAGCGUGCGCCGGCCGCGGCGGCGGCCAGGCGCGCCUCAACUUCAUGCCGGCCUUCUACCGCGUCGAGGCCGCGUUCCUGCACCGGUGGGAGGGCGACGUCUGCGACGCCGUCGAGAAGGGCGGGUACGAGGAGCCCUACGCCAAGUACCUCAAGGCCGGGUACAAGGUCGCGCUAAGCAUAGAGGCGGGGGACGAGGGUGACGAGCCGCAGAUCGCCAACUGUGUCGACGCGGAGCUGUUCUGGGAAGUUGUUUUGGAGUUCUUCAUUGAUCGGGCGAGCGAGAUUGGGCAGAAGGCCCUCCGGGAAGGCGGCGACGUGCUCAUGGACAGGUUCGUGGAGAUGUACAGGAACAUGGCCCUGUGCCCGUCGUGGCGAGGCAGGUACCAGCAGCAGCUGCAGCUGCGGCACGCGAUGAUGAUUCAGCAGCAGCAACAGCAGCAGAUUCAGAUGCAGCAGCAACAAGAACAUCAACAACAACAGCUCCAUAUUCAGCAGCAGCAGCAGAUUCCGAUGCAGCAACAGCAGCAACACCGUAUUCAGAUGCAGCAACAGCAGAAGCAGAUGAUGAUUCAGAAGCAACAACAGCGCCAACAAUAUAUCCAGAUGCAGCAGCAGCAGAUGAUGAUGAUUCCGAAGCAAGAACAAAUGAUGAACAUUCAGCAUCAACAACAGCAGCAGCAGCAGCACUUGGAUGGAGAUGCCAUACUGCAAGUGAAACAAGAAUUAAUAUAG
rnacentral:rRNA from 1 species